ensembl:rRNA predicted gene, 24601
AACUCUUAGCAAUGGUCACUUGGCUCGUGCGUCCACAGCAAGCUGCGAGAAUUAAUAUGAAUUGCAGGAUACACUGUUCAGCAACACUUCAAAUGUGCUUUUGGCCCCAGGUUCCUUCCCAGGCUACACCUGCCUGAGUAUCA